AUCAACGCUGGCGGCGUGCCUAACACAUGCAAGUCGAACGCGAGAGGGGCUUCGGCCCUGAUUGAGUGGCAAACGGGUGAGUAACGCGUGGGUGACCUACCUUCGAGUGGGGGAUAACGUUCCGAAAGGGACGCUAAUACCGCAUAACAUCCUGUCUUUGGACAGAUGGAGAUCAAAGCCGGGGAUCGUAAGACCUGGCGCUUGAGGAGGGGCCGCGUCCGAUUAGCUAGUUGGUGGGGUAAGGCUCACCAAGGCAACGAUCGGUAGCCGGCCUGAGAGGGCGGACGGCCACACUGGGACUGAGACACGGCCCAGACUCCUACGGGAGGCAGCAGUGGGGAAUUGUUCGCAAUGGGCGCAAGCCUGACGACGCAACGCCGCGUGAAGGAUGAAGGUCUUCGGAUUGUAAACUUCUGUUGAUCGGGACGAACAGCCAAGGGAUCAAUACCCUUUGCCUGACGGUACCGAUUGAGAAGCCCGGCUAACUCUGUGCCAGCAGCCGCCGUAAU
rnacentral:rRNA from 1 species